GUUGAUUUCUUGGCCAAAGGCGAGAAAUAAAGAGCUCAAAUUACAGAAGCUAGAAUGACUACUUUCCCACGUUUGUCAUGGCAACAAGAUAAAUUAGACAAAGUACUUGAUUGAAAAUACUAACCUCCACUAAGCAUCCUUCUAUUUCACGUGCUUUGCUCCACGCAUAGAAAGUUAUAAUACAGUCUCCCAUUGUUAUGCAC